GAGAAAAACUGUCAAAGAAAUAUCCGGAUGGUUUCUGGUAAAGAGAUGAUAUCCCAUCAGUAUCUCCACAAACACCUAAAGGUUUUCAAGGGUUAGGAAAAG